UACGGAGGAUCCAAGCGUUAUCCGGAAUCAUUGGGUUUAAAGGGUCCGUAGGCGGUUUGGUAAGUCAGUGGUGAAAGCCCUUCGCUCAACGGAGGAACGGCCAUUGAUACUGCCAGACUUGAAUUACUGGGAAGUAACUAGAAUAUGUAGUGUAGCGGUGAAAUGCUUAGAUAUUACAUGGAAUACCAAUUGCGAAGGCAGGUUAACUACCGGUGGAUUGACGCUGACUGGACGAAAGCGUGGGGAGCGAACAGG
rnacentral:rRNA from 1 species